AACGAACGCUGGCGGCAGGCCUAACACAUGCAAGUCGAACGAACCGUUUACGGUGAGUGGCGCACGGGUGAGUAACACGUGGGAAUAUACAUUUCGGUAAGGAAUAACGUAGAGAAAUUUACGCUAAUACCUUAUAAUGACUACGGUCCAAAGAUUUAUCGCCGAAGGAUUAGCCCGCGUUAGAUUAGGUAGUUGGUAGGGUAAUGGCCUACCAAGCCUACGAUCUAUAGCUGGUCUUAGAGGAUGAUCAGCCACACUGGAACUGAGACACGGUCCAGACUCCUACGGGAGGCAGCAGGGAGGAAGAUUGCGCGAUGGGGGAAACCCUGACGCAGCCAUGCCGCGUGAGUGACGAAGGCCUUAGGGUUGUAAAGCUCUUUCAGAUGUAAAGAUAAUGACGGUAACAUCAGAAGAAGCUCCGGCUAAAUUCGUGCCAGCCGCCGCCGUAA
rnacentral:rRNA from 1 species